AAAAAGGCAUCAAACACUGUUCAGUUCAAGGGGCAGCCCAUUGACCAGAAAGGUAACUGUUGUGGCUAAGAUUUCUAUUGUGGUCUGGAUUCCAAAAAAAAGGAAAAAGGAAAAAGGAAAGAAAAGAAAAGAAGACGAGGCAAAUUGUAAACAACUGUUGACUAAACUUUCAUAUGAAACUCGCCGAACAGUUAUAAGUUUUAGACUUUAACCUUUCUUUCAAUUGUCUUCCGCCUUUACGAGAGGGGAAAGAAAAAUAGAAGAUUACUUCCACUAUGUUGGAGGGAUCUGGCUUGUAAGUUGUACAAUAUUCUCAAAAUUAUUUGAAAUGUAUUCAGUUGUGAGUAUCUUUAUGAGGUUAAUGUGAUAAGCCUGAAACGUCUUUUUCAUUUGAUACUUCUUUCUGUGUUCAUGAAUUAGCAAGCAAAUAUAUAGAAAUCGGUAACAAGGCCAAUUCUGAAAUGUCCAAAACCUUAACUGCAUGGGUUGGCAAAGUUGUCAUGAACAGCUGCCAUGCUGCAAGUGAAUAAAGUUGGACAUAAUUUUUUGAAAUGCUAUGUAUGGUUUAGUUGUAUUACACUGGUGAAUUAGAGCUUAAAAUUUAUUUUUGAAGAGAG
rnacentral:lncRNA from 1 species